GAUGAACGCUGGCGGCGUGCCUAAUACAUGCAAGUCGAGCGAACAGAUGAGGAGCUUGCUCCUCUGACGUUAGCGGCGGACGGGUGAGUAACACGUGGAUAACCUACCUAUAAGACUGGGAUAACUUCGGGAAACCGGAGCUAAUACCGGAUAAUAUAUUGAACCGCAUGGUUCAAUAGUGAAAGACGGUUUUGCUGUCACUUAUAGAUGGAUCCGCGCCGCAUUAGCUAGUUGGUAAGGUAACGGCUUACCAAGGCAACGAUGCGUAGCCGACCUGAGAGGGUGAUCGGCCACACUGGAACUGAGACACGGUCCAGACUCCUACGGGAGGCAGCAGUAGGGAAUCUGCCGCAAUGGGCGAAAGCCUGACGGAGCAACGCCGCGUGAGUGAUGAAGGUCUUCGGAUCGUAAAACUCUGUUAUUAGGGAAGAACAAAUGUGUAAGUAACGAUGCACGUCUUGACGGUACCUAAUCAGAAAGCCACGGCUAACUACGU
rnacentral:rRNA from 1 species